rnacentral:rRNA from 1 species
UACGAAGGGGGCUAGCGUUGCUCGGAAUUACUGGGCGUAAAGCGCACGUAGGCGGCUUCUUAAGUCGGUGGUGAAAUCCUGGAGCUCAACUCCAGAACUGCCUUCGAUACUGGGAGCUCGAGUCCGGGAGAGGUGAGUGGAACUGCGGAGUGUAGAGGUGAAAUUCGUAGAUAUUCGACAAGAACACCAGUGGCGAAGGCGGCUCACUGGCCCGGUACUGACGCUGAGGUGCGAAAGCGUGGGGGAGCAAACAGG